rnacentral:rRNA from 1 species
GCUAAUACCGCAUAACGUCUACGGACCAAAGAGGGGGACCUUCGGGCCUCUCGCUUCAGGAUAUGCCCAGGUGGGAUUAGCUAGUUGGUGAGGUAAUGGCUCACCAAGGCGACGAUCCCUAGCUGGUCUGAGAGGAUGAUCAGCCACACUGGAACUGAGACACGGUCCAGACUCCUACGGGAGGCAGCAGUGGGGAAUAUUGCACAAUGGGCGCAAGCCUGAUGCAGCCAUGCCGCGUGUAUGAAGAAGGCCUUCGGGUUGUAAAGUACUUUCAGUCGUGAGGAAGGCAAUACAGUUAAUAGCUGUGUUGUUUGACGUUAGCGACAGAAGAAGCACCGGCUAACUCCGUGCCAGCAGCCGCGGUAAUACGGAGGGUGCGAGCGUUAAUCGGAAUUACUGGGCGUAAAGCGCAUGCAGGUGGUUUGUUAAGUCAGAUGUGAAAGCCCGGGGCUCAACCUCGGAACCGCAUUUGAAACUGGCAGGCUAGAGUACUGUAGAGGGGGGUAGAAUUUCAGGUGUAGCGGUGAAAUGCGUAGAGAUCUGAAGGAAUACCAGUGGCGAAGGCGGCCCCCUGGA